GAAAGCCUGAUCCAGCAAUGCCGCGUGUGUGAAGAAGGCCUUCGGGUUGUAAAGCACUUUUGUCCGGAAAGAAAUCCUUGGCUCUAAUACAGUCGGGGGAUGACGGUACCGGAAGAAUAAGCACCGGCUAACUACGUGCCAGCAGCCGCGGUAAUACGUAGGGUGCGAGCGUUAAUCGGAAUUACUGGGCGUAAAGCGUGCGCAGGCGGUUUGCUAAGACCGAUGUGAAAUCCCCGGGCUCAACCUGGGAACUGCAUUGGUGACUGGCAGGCUAGAGUAUGGCAGAGGGGGGUAGAAUUCCACGUGUAGCAGUGAAAUGCGUAGAGAUGUGGAGGAAUACCGAUGGCGAAGGCAGCCCCCUGGGCCAAUACUGACGCUCAUGCACGAAAGCGUGGGGAGCAAACAGGAUUAGAUACCCUGGUAGUCCACGCCCUAAACGAUGUCAACUAGUUGUUGGGGAUUCAUUUCCUUAGUAACGUAGCUAACGCGUGAAGUUGACCGCCUGGGGAGUACGGUCGCAAGAUUAAAACUCAAAGGAAUUGACGGGGACCCGCACAAGCGGUGGAUGAUGUGGAUUAAUUCGAUGCAACGCGAAAAACCUUACCUACCCUUGACAUGGUCGGAAUCCCGCUGAGAGGUGGGAGUGCUCGAAAGA
rnacentral:rRNA from 1 species